CGUGCGCUAUCGUAUCAAAACAAUGUCUUGCUGGCUCGCUUUGCCGGCUGGUGUCCGCUUGGCGUAGACAUAUGACAGUUUCUAAAUUUUUUGUAGAACUUCAUAAUACUUGUGAUUUUCCCUUAAAAUAAUAAUUAUAAUAAAAUCGUGAUGGAUUCGUCAAACAAAGAAGUACAGGCUAAGAAUGAAAGUAAGGUUAAUAAUAACUAUAAUCCUUGGAAUGUAUUUUUUAAUUCAAGGCAAAGAACAAACAGUGAGAAUAGUGUAACAUCAAAUUGUUCUUUUACUUCAACUGAGUCUGGAUCUCAAUUUGGUACAGUUCAGAAGCAGAAUACAAAGACGGAGGAUUAUCUUUGGAUGAUAUGGCGUUCUUAACCGCACGUGGAUCGAGUGCUGCAAAGGGUUUCAAUUUCAAAAGUGAUAGAUGUUUCCUGCUGGUUAUAAACUGUUAAAGUGUAUCCCAAAAUGAGCUGUGGGUACCGACGAUAAGCAUGGAACAAAUGGUUUUCCUUCCGACAUGGCUUUUGAUGGCGUGGCUCGGGUCAUUCAUUCUUUUUAGCCCCUUCGCAAUAUUUUUAGUGUUUUGCCUUCCCCAACUUCCACUUUUAGUAGUACGGAGAUUAUGUUACAUACCCUUUGAAUAUAUUUAAUGUGAGGUUUUAUUUUAAUUAUAUGUAAAUAGCGUGUAAAUAGUAAAUAAGUUAUGGAUUUAAAUACAUAUUUGUCCAUU